AUCGAGGUUUUUUUCUUCAUUAUAUUCCGAAAAAUACAGAUUUGCAUAAAAACCCAAAGUCUAAUCAUAGUCGUACACAUAUGGCGAUGGCCAUCGACACCGGCAUGCGUAACACCGCUACGUACAUACCUGUUUAGAAACUUGCUUAUCGAGAUACGUGGCCGAGGAAACGGUUGCCGAUCGUCAGUCGCUCGCACACGAUCGUAUAAACACCUUCGAUCACAGAAACGUUGGAAAAAGUGCGUUGGAGUCGCGCUAGUGACGAAUUAAUCGCGAGGCUGGCGAGAUCGAUAAGUGAAAAGUGUAAUCGAUUCGAAUCAACGUGAUCGAAAUGUCGUUCCUAGAGUCAUAGGUAAAUUUCCGAGAAAUUUAGAUUCUCUGAUAAAUACGAUGAAAGUGAGUACUGCAAUUUAGAUUCUCUGAUAAAUACGAUGAAAGUGAGUACUGCAAGUGUGAUAGUGUCAUCGAGAAAGUUUCAGCGAUAAAGACUUUUGGACGAUUUCAUGAUCAAUUGCACGAGGGAAUAAUGAGAGAGAACGUGGAACUGUGAGUGACUGUUGGUUGAUUCUGAAAUUAGAAGAUGCGCGAUUGUUAAUUGGAUUUACAACGCGAUCGACUUUACAGCGAAUACAAUAAUCGGUUGAGGAAACAUGUCCACCGACGGAGAUAACGAUAGGAGGCAAACGAAAGUCAUGGAUCCUCUUUUGGAAGCGCUCGAUAAGCUCGGACGUGGAUCCAACUUUCUAUGGACAAUAUUCAUUUUUACACUGACGCCGAUGGUAUUCAAUGGAAUGCACUCCAUGUCUUAUAUCUUUAUCGCCGAUGUUCCCAAACAUUGGUGCGCGAUACCAAGUCUGACUGGAGCGAUUUGGACGGACGAGGAAAUAAGAAACAUCUCGUCGUCCAGUCCGUGCACCAUGUACAAUUACAAUUACGAAAAUUUUGCGCAGAUUGGAUUCGAGAAGGCGUUAGAGUACAAAAUUUCCAAUCCUCUACCCGAAUCGAUUUUCUGUGACGUAAGGGAUUUCGCAAAUAAUAACGAUGGAACUUCUCUCGUGCAAGACUGGGAUUUGGUAUGCGACAAGAGCGCGGCACGUUCGAGCACCCACAUGGCACUGUCACUCGGAAAGUUAUUAGGCAGCGCUUUCUUCGGAAUUUUCGCGGACAAAUACGGCCGCAAAAUCUGUUGCGUUAUUGGUACAAUAAUGUUAAUCACUUCUGGUCCAGCUGGUGCCAUCGUGCCCUGGUACUGGGGCUUCAUGAUCUCGAGAUUAAUUAAUGGUGCUAGUCACGCAGCCAUACUGUAUUCAGCUUUCACGACACUUACAGAGGUAGCGAAUGAGAAGCACAGACAAUGGAUGGGAAUCGCUUACAAUAUCGGCUACGCUUUAGGAAUGGUUAUUGUCUCAGGUGUAGCUUAUUUGCUGCACGAAUGGAGGCACAUUCAAUUAGCGAUAUCUCUACCGGCUCUGCUUUUGCUAAUACAGUUAUGGCUCAUGCCAGAAUCUCCACGAUGGCUGAUAGCUCACAACCGUCGGGAUGAGGCGAAGAGUUUAAUUAACAAGGCGUCUAAGGCAAGUCCCGAUAUAACGAUGACCACGUCAAUCGCGUCAAAUAUAGAGGAAAAAGAGGAAGAAGAGACAAAACAAGAAUCGAAAAACAUUAAAGAAAGAUUACACGAAGAUAUCAAAGGGUUUUGGGUGGUUAUCAGCAACAGCGAACUACGAAAGAGACUUCUUAUCACGAAUUUUACCUGGAUGACAGCUUCUCUGACUUACUAUGCGCUAGCACUAAAUGUGAACAACUUCUCCACAAACCGGUACAUCUACGUGUCAGUAAUGGGUCUGACCGAAAUACCAGCUUAUUUAAUACCAACGCCGAUUCUGAUGGUCAUGGGACGACGUACAGGAAGCGGAAGUUUGUACAUCAUAGCUGCGUUGUGUUUGCUCUCCAUUCUUGCAAUUCCAACGACAGAUAGCGAUACGAUUAUGAUCGUAUCCUUAAUCGGAAGGUUCAGCGCGUCAGCUGCUUAUGGCAUCGCCAUUUUGUACAGCUCAGAGCUUUUUCCUACGGUCUGCAGAAACUCCGCGGUCGGUACGAAUUCCGCGAUGUCUCACGUCGGAAGUGUGGCCGCCCCUUACGUCGCCGAUUUAUUGGGAGCUGCGGUGUGGUGGGGGCCAACUACUCUUUGCGGCGGUUUAGCUCUAAUUGCGGGUUUAUUGUGCCUAGUAUUGCCGGAAACUCGCGGCAGGCCACUGGCGAACACCGUCGAUGAAGAAAUUACCGAGGAACGAGACAACGUGUCGUUCUACAAUGGCUACAAGUGUGUAAAAGACGUUGUGCUGUGCGUAAGGUCGGGUCGCAAAUCGCAGCUGACAAGCGCGAUCAUCUCUUAGACGUUCUUCAGACAUCUUGAAUCUAUUCAUCUAGCAAUUCUCACGAAGGGAAUGAAUACUUAGGAAACUUCGAGAUUCGUUGAGAAAAAGAAACGAAACUGGCACACGAGGAUGGACUUUACAGCGAUCACGGAUGCUUUUUAGCAUAUCUGCUUUUAACGACCAAAUGAUAAGAGAGAAGAUAUCCAGAGAGCGUUACAACGAUGGGAAGACCGACUCGUUAUUUCUAUAAAAUGAUACAAAUGCUGUCCGAAAUUCCGCAAGUACAAUACAGAUAUUUCGUUUCAGUGAAAAUUUUAUUUUCUAAAUAAUUUAUAUUUUCCAAUGGAAACGUAAACUGGCGUAAAUGCCUAGUGACUCUUGUCUUCGAUCGUCCACUUUGAAAGUUGUACGCAAUCGCUUUCAAAUUAAUUUAUUAUUAUUAUUUCGCGUAAUUCGAUUUGUCACGAUAAUUACAACUUGUUGA